AGCGGGAAAGUCCUUUAAAGGUAACCUGUCACUGUUCUGAUCUGUCCUGGGUGGUGACCUAUGUGAGACUUUGGUGUGGGAUCCCCCAUCCCUGUCAGAAUGUCACACAAGCCCUGCCAAUGACAUUGAUCCCAGCACUCACCUCAAAAGUUGUCCAUUGCAGAGCUGGAGAGAAAGCCAGGCAGUUCAAAAUGGCUUUAGUGCAGGAUUCCAUGUGUCUUCAGAAAACUUAUUUUCUGAAGAUUAUCAGGAAACGUAUGCAGCGAAAGCUGGGGUGAAUGUCACCCUGUCUGCUGGUGGAACUGAAGCGAAGAACAUUGCACGAAACACCCAAAUGCUGAGUUCUUACCACAGCUGAAGCCAAAGAUAACACUGGAAUCGGCCAUGGUAACGGUAGCUGUGGGACCUCCAGUGGGAGAGAUUCGUCCGGACUGUUGGGCAAGGAAGGACCAGAGAAAGUCCAGCUACACUGAUCUGCUGUCAAUUCUCCUAUCCUGCUGAACCUUGUCAGCUUCCUCUGUAUUUAUGUGGUUCUAUUUUGUUCUUGAGUUUGCAUAAGAGCAGAUACCAAUCUCCAAGGCACAGAGAAGACUCCCAAGUAUGAUCAACUAAGGUUACUUCCCUGGAAGCAAGGGUGUAGUCAUUCAAGACUUCUUCAAGAAGAUACAGAAACAAUUUCCCCAGAAAAGACAUGGGUGAAUCAUUACAGUAAUAGCCUGCCAAGAGUGUAACACACAGAGAUUCCAAUCAAAAGGGCCUCAGGUCAACUACCAAUCAUAACAUGUGGCUCAGCUUUGCUGGAGCUUUGUCAAGCAGCUGUGCUGGCUUCAUGAUUUUCUCUGUUCCCCUAGAAGAUGGGUGUGCCAGGGAAGUAAAAUAAAUGACACAUAAAUACAUAAUAAAUAAAUAAAUAAAUUCACUUAUUAAAAAA